rnacentral:rRNA from 1 species
UUUUAGAAAUUAAUUUAAAGUCUAACCUGCCCACUGAAAUAUUUAAAUGGCCGCAGUAUUUUAACUGUGCAAAGGUAGCAUAAUCAUUAGUCUUUUAAUUGAAGGCUGGAAUGAAUGGUUGAAUGAAAUAUUAACUGUUUCAUAUAAAUUUAAAAUAUAAUUUUAUUUUUUAGUUAAAAAGCUAAAAUAGUAUUAAAAGACGAGAAGACCCUAUAAAUCUUUAUAAUUUUAAAAUUUUAAUUAUUUAGAUAAAUUAAAUUAUAAUUUUAUAAAUUAUUUUAUUGGGGUGAUAUUAAAAUUUAAUAAACUUUUAAUAAAAAAUUAACAUAAAUUAAUGAAUUAUUGAUCCAUAUAUAAUGAUUAAAAAAUUAAGUUACUUUAGGGAUAACAGCGUAAUUUUUUUAAAGAGUUCAUAUUGAUAAAAAAGAUUGCGACCUCGAUGUUGGAUUAAGAUAUAAUUUUAGGUGCAGAAGCUUAAAUUUAAAGUCUGUUCGACUUAUAAAUUCUUACA